rnacentral:rRNA from 1 species
UACAGAGGUCCCAAGCGUUGUUCGGAUUCACUGGGCGUAAAGGGUGCGUAGGUGGCCGGGUAAGUUUGAUGUGAAAGCUCGGAGCUUAACUCCGAAAUGGCAUUGAAUACUAUCCGGCUAGAGGGUCGGAGGGGAGACUGGAAUUCUCGGUGUAGCAGUGAAAUGCGUAGAUAUCGAGAGGAACACCAGUGGCGAAGGCGAGUCUCUGGACGACUCCUGACACUGAGGCACGAAAGCCAGGGGAGCAAACAGG